rnacentral:rRNA from 1 species
GAUGAACGCUGGCGGCGUGCCUAAUACAUGCAAGUCGAGCGAACAGACGAGGAGCUUGCUCCUCUGACGUUAGCGGCGGACGGGUGAGUAACACGUGGAUAACCUACCUAUAAGACUGGGAUAACUUCGGGAAACCGGAGCUAAUACCGGAUAAUAUAUUGAACCGCAUGGUUCAAUAGUGAAAGACGGUUUUGCUGUCACUUAUAGAUGGAUCCGCGCCGCAUUAGCUAGUUGGUAAGGUAACGGCUUACCAAGGCAACGAUGCGUAGCCGACCUGAGAAGGUGAUCGGCCACACUGGAAAGGAGAAACGGUCCAGACGCCUACGGGAGGCAGCAGUAGGGAAUCUGCCGGGAUGGGCGAAAGAAUAACGGAGCAACGGCGCGUGAGUGAUGAAGGUCUUCGGAGCGUAAGACUAUGGUAUUAGGGAAGAACAAAUGUGUAAGUAACUAUGAACGUAUUGACGGUACCUAAUCAGAAAGCCACGGCUAACUACGUG